GACGAACGCUGGCGGCGUGCUUAACACAUGCAAGUCGAACGGAAAGGCCCUGCUUUUGUGGGGUGCUCGAGUGGCGAACGGGUGAGUAACACGUGAGUAACCUGCCCUUGACUUUGGGAUAACUUCAGGAAACUGGGGCUAAUACCGGAUAGGAGCUCCUGCUGCAUGGUGGGGGUUGGAAAGUUUCGGCGGUUGGGGAUGGACUCGCGGCUUAUCAGCUUGUUGGUGGGGUAGUGGCUUACCAAGGCUUUGACGGGUAGCCGGCCUGAGAGGGUGACCGGCCACAUUGGGACUGAGAGACGGCCCAGACGCCUACGGGAGGCAGCAGGGGGGAAUAUUGCACAAUGGGCGGAAGCCUGAGGCAGCAACGCCGCGUGCGGGAUGACGGCCUUCGGGUUGUAAACCGCUUUCGCCUGUGACGAAGCGUGAGUGACGGUAAUGGGUAAAGAAGCACCGGCUAACUACGUG
rnacentral:rRNA from 1 species